UCAGACCAGAGGCAACAGUGAUGGCAGUGAAAGCAAAGCUUUGAGUUGAGAAAGGUUUUUUAGUGUUCAGAUGAGCCUCUACAUGGAAUGGACAGAAAGGUGGAAGAGAUGGAGCCAUAAGGGUAGUGGGCACUCCUCGUUGAACCAUGUGGGAAUUUCUCUCAGUUUAGAGAUGAGGAGGGGAAUGUUGAUCUAG
rnacentral:lncRNA from 12 species